CCUACGGGAUGCAGCAGUGAGGAAUAUUGGUCAAUGGCCGAGAGGCUGAACCAGCCAAGUCGCGUGAGGGAAGAAUGUCCUCUGGAUUGUAAACCUCUUUUGUCAGGGAGCAAAGUCACCCACGUGUGGGUGUUGGGGAGUACCUGAAGAAAAAGCAUCGGCUAACUCCGUGCCCGCAGCCGCGGUAAUACGGAGGAUGCGAGCGUUAUCCGUAUUUAUGGGGUUUCAAGGGUGCGUAGGCGGGUUAUCAAGUCAGCGGUAAAAUCUUGGAGCUCAACUCCAUCCAGCCGUUGACACUGAUGAUCUAGAGUGGGGGAGAAGUAUGCGGAAUGCGUGGUGUAGCGGUGAAAUGCAUAGAUAUCACGCAGAACUCCGAUGGCGAAGGCAGCAUACCGGAGCCCGACUGACGCUGAAGCACGAAAGCGUGGGUAUCGAACAGGAUUAGAUACCCUUGUAGUC
rnacentral:rRNA from 1 species